rnacentral:misc_RNA from 1 species
GAUGAAGAACGCAGCGAAAUGCGAUAAGUAGUGUGAAUUGCAGAAUUCCGUGAAUCAUCGAAUCUUUGAACGCACAUUGCGCCUUCUGGUAUUCCGGAAGGCAUGCCUGUUCGAGAGUCAUUAACAACCGUUUCGAUCCCUUUCUUUCAGAAAUUACAAAGAGGAAAAGGGUUUGGUUAUGGUGGAGGAGGGAAAGGGAGCGUUUAGCCUGUAAAAAAAGAGGCUGUGUUCCGCCUCCCCCCCAAAAUUGUACAGGCGGUCGUGUGCGCCCACGCAUCGAGGUGUUGUAAAAGCUGCCACGGCACUUUUCACCUGUGCAGUGCGAGAUUGGCCAGCCGGUUUAAAAACCCCUCCAAACAAUCAAAGGUUGACCUCGGAACAGGUAGGGAUACCCGCUGAACUUAAGCAUAUCAAUAAGCGGAGGA